rnacentral:sRNA from 1 species
CUUGCCUCCCUGCCCACAUCUCCCUGGACACCUUCCCUCUUACCUGGUCUCUUGGGGCCGCUGUCUACCUGCUCCCCGCCACUGUCCUGUCUGCCUGCUGUGCACAUGGGGCGGCCCCUCUUGCCUACUCUGGGCCCGGCCUCCUCUGCUAUGCCUGCGUCCUCGGAGCAGAAGCAGACAGGCAGCAUGGACUCCGAUGACUUCAGGGCUCUGCUUAUCUCCACAGGAUACAGCCUGGGUGAGGCCGAGUUCAACCGCAUCAUGAGCCUGGUCGACCCCAACCAUAGCGGCCUUGUGACCUUCCAAGCCUUCAUCGACUUCAUGUCGCGGGAGACCACCGACACGGACACGGCCGACCAGGUCAUCGCUUCCUUCAAGGUCCUGGCAGGGGACAAGAACUUCAUCACAGCUGAGGAGCUGCGGAGAGAGCUGCCCCCCGACCAGGCUGAGUACUGCAUCGCCCGCAUGGCGCCAUACCAGGGCCCUGAUGCCGUGCCCGGCGCCCUCGACUACAAGUCCUUCUCCACGGCCUUGUAUGGCGAGA